rnacentral:lncRNA from 1 species
UGAGGAGAUUCUUUUGCUUCAUUAACUUUUCCUCCAUUUACUUUCAACUUAGAAAAAUCAGAUCACCUGGCUUGCUUUGACCCUUGGGAAUACAACUGAAGUCUCACUUAAAGUCCUUAAAUUCUUUUUGUGGAACUUAGCCUUGACUUUUAAAAUGUCAUGGGACUGAGAGUCGACCUAAUAAUGCAUUGAUUCUGUCUGGCUUAGUUAUUGCAGCAGUAGUUGCAGUGCUGGAUCAGAAAUCAUGCUCCAGAAACUCUGCAGUGGUGGUUUUUCACUUCAAGGUGAUAUUACUGAGUUCAUGGUAGGGAAAAAAAGGUGAGAAAAAAUAUCAUCAUUCAUUUGAGUUAUUAUAUAAUCAAGUAUAUCUGACUACAUUAACACAACUGCAUUUUUGUCAGUGAAUGUGUAUCUGAGUUUGGAUGGCUUAACUCAGGCACUGCAGAAUUUAAAGGCAUUCUGGUAAUGAUUCUGGCAGAAAACUGUGUUUACACCAAAACAUUUGCUGUACAAGAACUAAAAUCUUGAAAAUGGUUUGUUCUAACAAGCCUUUUUGUCCUGCAGAGAUGUUUUGUCCUGAUUCAUUUUCCACCCAUUUUCUUACAGGAAGAGCAGCUGAUGCUGCAGCAGGAAAGAAUUUGGACACAAGAAGAACUACAACUGUGUUGCGUAAGAAAUGAAUAAGGCCAUCCUUCCUUCUUGGUGGUUACUGCAUCUGUGUUGUGUUUUUCUUUAAGGAACAACCAAAAAAAACCUCAACUGCUCCUACAACUGCAAGAAGAACCACCAGUUUCAGAACAGAGAAAAUUUUAAGACGAGUGUACUUAAAAAAAUAAUAAAUCAAUAUUGAACUGUGCA